AAACCAACAGUGCUGAGCCAAAGUCCUCAUAGUAUGGAAGUGGGAGACCCUGCUGGCCAUAGAUACAUGCAGAGAGGAAUGAAGGCGUAGUGAUUAAAGAGCUGACUAGGCAGCCAGACCCUGACAAACGAAUCCAUCUUCUCACAUCAGGCCUCCCAUUGUUCUCUUACAAGAACCAGGAUUCCAGGAAGACAAGCAACAAGGUUUCUUAAAAAGAGACUUUGGGGAAAAAAAACCUCUCCUCGCUCAUCCCACUUUGCAUCACAGCUUGUCUUAUCCACCUCAUCUCAUUUUCCCUGGCCAAGAGAGAAGGAGCAGACCAGAAGGAAAGACUUUCUUCCUGAGUGGAAGGCAAGCAGGCCUUUCUCUUGUUUAAGGAACUUCAAAGUCCUGAAAACCAUCAUAUCAUCAUGGCUUCCAGUCCUCAGCCCAUCAGUGGGGAGACCCAAUUGCCAGCAUCUCAGAAGCAUGUUAAGCACCUGUUUUGUUCCCUCCCUUUUGUGUUGUUCUCCCUCCACCCAUACCUCACUCUUUUGGCUUUUCAUCAAGUCCUAAAAUCAACUGCACUGCAUCAGCAAGAUGAGCUGCCCACAACUCUGCCCCGUCUAAGGAGAAAAGGCCCAGCCAGAUGAUGUCCGUGACCCAGGGUCCAAGCAAAAGGUCCCAGCCAAUGUAUCUAUUUGUGAUUGACCAGCUGCUCAGCGUUCCAAAGACAUCAUGAAAAGCAGUCUCUCUCCUGCACCUUGUCUGUUAGACACAGGAGAAGUUAAGACCCUUUACACAUCAGGCUUGAAAG